rnacentral:rRNA from 1 species
UGGGGAAUAUUGCACAAUGGGGGAAACCCUGAUGCAGCGACGCCGCGUGAACGAAGAAGGUAUUCGUAUCGUAAAGUUCUGUCCUAUGGGAAGAUAAUGACAGUACCAUAGAAGAAAGCUCCGGCUAAAUACGUGCCAGCAGCCGCGGUAAUACGUAUGGAGCGAGCGUUGUCCGGAAUUAUUGGGCGUAAAGGGUACGCAGGCGGUUUAAUAAGUCGAAUGUUAAAGAUCGGGGCUCAACCCCGCAAAGCAUUGGAAACUGAUAAACUUGAGUAGUGGAGAGGAAAGUGGAAUUCCUAGUAUAGUGGUGAAAUACGUAGAUAUUAGGAGGAAUACCAGUAGCGAAGGCGACUUUCUGGACACAAACUGACGCUGAGGUACGAAAGCGUGGGGAGCAAACAGG